UCGGUAAGGGAUGGGCAUGCGUGCCAUUAGCUAGUUGGUAGUGUAACGGACUACCAAGGCAACGAUGGCUAGGGGGUCUGAGAGGAUGAUCCCCCACACUGGUACUGAGAUACGGACCAG
rnacentral:rRNA from 1 species